AUGUAGGGCAAUCUGUCUUUAAGUAGGGAUAAAUUACUCUAAAACAAAAAAGAAUCUUAGAUAGUUUUCCCUUCAAGUCAAGCAUCUUGU
rnacentral:pre_miRNA from 1 species